rnacentral:rRNA from 1 species
GAUGAACGCUGGCGGCGUGCCUAAUACAUGCCAGUCGAGCGAACAGACGAGGAGCUUGCUCCUCUGACGUUAGCGGCGGACGGGUGAGUAACACGUGGAUAACCUACCUAUAAGACUGGGAUAACUUCGGGAAACCGGAGCUAAUACCGGAUAACAUGUUGAACCGCAUGGUUCAACAGUGAAAGACGGUCUUGCUGUCACUUAUAGAUGGAUCCGCGCCGCAUUAGCUAGUUGGUAAGGUAACGGCUUACCAAGGCAACGAUGCGUAGCCGACCUGAGAGGGUGAUCGGCCACACUGGAACUGAGACACGGUCCAGCCUCCUACGGGAGGCAGCAGUAGGGAAUCUUCCGCAAUGGGCGAAAGCCUGACGGAGCAACGCCGCGUGAGUGAAGAAGGUCUUCGGAUCGUAAAACUCUGUUAUUAGGGAAGAACAAAUGUGUAAGUAACUAUGCACGUCUUGACGGUACCUAAUCAGAAAGCCACGGCUAACUACGU